CCUACGGGCGGCAGCAGUGGGGAAUAUUGCACAAUGGGGGAAACCCUGAUGCAGCGACGCCGCGUGAGUGAAGAAGUAAUUCGUUAUGUAAAGCUCUAUCAGCAGGGAAGAAAAUGACGGUACCUGAGUCAGAAGCCCCGGCUAACUACGUGCCAGCAGCCGCGGGAAUACGUAGGGGGCAAGCGUUAUCCGGAUUUACUGGGUGUAAAGGGAGCGUAGACGGCAGUGCAAGUCUGGAGUGAAAGGCGGGGGCUCAACCCCCGGACUGCUCUGGAAACUGUACGGCUGGAGUGCAGGAGAGGUAAGUGGAAUUCCUAGUGUAGCGGUGAAAUGCUUAGAUAUUAGGAGGAACACCAGUGGCGAAGGCGGCUUACUGGACUGUAACUGACGUUGAGGCUCGAAAGCGUGGGUAGCAAACAGGAUUAGAUACCCGGGUAGUC
rnacentral:rRNA from 1 species